GGGUUGUGAGGUUAAGCGACUAAGCGUACACGGUGGAUGCCCUGGCAGUCAGAGGCGAUGAAGGACGUGCUAAUCUGCGAUAAGCGCCGGUAAGGUGAUAUGAACCGUUAUAACCGGCGAUUUCCGAAUGGGGAAACCCAGUGUGACUCGUCACACUAUCAUUAACUGAAUCCAUAGGUUAAUGAGGCGAACCGGGGGAACUGAAACAUCUAAGUACCCCGAGGAAAAGAAAUCAACCGAGAUUCCCCCAGUAGCGGCGAGCGAACGGGGAGGAGCCCAGAGCCUGAAUCAGCAUGUGUGUUAGUGGAAGCGUCUGGAAAGGCGCGCGAUACAGGGUGACAGCCCCGUACACAAAAGCGCAUGUGCUGUGAGCUCGAUGAGUAGGGCGGGACACGUGGUAUCCUGUCUGAAUAUGGGGGGACCAUCCUCCAAGGCUAAAUACUCCUGACUGACCGAUAGUGAACCAGUACCGUGAGGGAAAGGCGAAAAGAACCCCGGCGAGGGGAGUGAAAAAGAACCUGAAACCGUGUACGUACAAGCAGUGGGAGCCCCACCACUAAGCCAGUGGUGAACUCCACAUACGCAUCCUUUGCUGAGGAUACGG
rnacentral:rRNA from 2 species